ACAUAUUUUCUUGUGAAUCUCUACAGUCCUUUGUCUAUAAAUAGGACUGAAGUCUGAUACUUGAGGAAGAGAGCAAGAGUGAUAUCGUGAGAGUCUGGGGAAUCACAUUCUGUAGGAAGAGAGUGAGAUAGCGGGAGAAAUUCUUGCAACAGAAUCUCUGCAACUUUCUGUGAUAGUUUUCUGGUGUGUUCUUGGUUGAGUGGUGAGUGGUGGUGUUUUGUGUAAAAUAAACACUGUGUAAUAUCAUCUUGUAUGGCAGAUUCACUGGGGGUUAAAUUCCCUGUAUUGGUUGAUGAAUUUUGUCCCAAUAACAUGAAACUCUUGUGUUCUUGAUCUGCUUUCUUUCCUUGGUUCAUAUUCUGUCAUUUCUGGGUACUCUUUUCUAGUAUGCAAAUCUGAAUUCAUCUUUCCUGGGAGAUGAAAAAUCCUGACAUACAAGUCACUCGCGUUGAUCAACAAGUGCUCACAUCCGUUGAUUUAAUAAUCAUUUUUUUGGGGAUAUCUUCACCCAAUCAAUCUUGUUGCAUUUCGAUGAAUGAUAACGCUAUUUCAUGUGGAAUUGAGCCUCUAAGUAAAAUAUUUAGGUGGUCAAAACAUACUCUUUCUUUUUCGAACGUUUAUUUUAUUUAUAGUCAAUUCAAUUUAUUUUCCAUAUUGAGAUUAGGUGGAGAUAUGUUUAUAUUAGUUUUCUUAAAGAUUAUCAUUGAUUAGAAGAGUAAGUAAACUUUAUGCACUUAUUUGGACCUAUAAACUUGCUUAUUUAUUGAUAAAUAAAGUAGAUAUCUACUUAAUUUAGAAUAAAUAUGAAUAGUUUUAGGUAAAAUCCUAUGAUAAGUGUAUUUUAUACACUUAUUCGGGUGCUUAAAAUGACAAUAUUUGGUGGUCCUUUUAACAAAUUAUAUCAUAAUUUUUUUAUUUUAUGCUUAAUAGAUAUAUUUCACGAUCAAAAAGGGAGUUGAAGAGAAGAAGCAAAAAUGGGCGAAAAGUGGCAAAAUUCAAGUACAAGGACUAAAUUGGCUAGUUGAUGCAAAGUUUGGAAAUCAAAAUUCAUUAUCUUGAAAAUUAAGGACUUGGAAGCAAACACUAUAAAUGGGCCUCAACUAGACUUCCACGUGGGCUGCUGAUUGAACUUCUUGACCUAGAAGGACCCGCAUGUAUGCAAAGUGAAAUUAAAAAGUCCAAGUGAAAGUGAUUUUCGGUGGCUGCUAGGUUUUAUUUUUUAUAUAUAUACACCAUUUACACGCCGAGGAGGGGGGGAGCCGAACUAGGGAGCAAAUUGGACUCCACUUUGGGGUAAAUUAUUGAGGCUCAAUAGCACAGAAAAUCGGGAGAGAUACAUACGAAUUGGAGAGGUGGAAUUGGGGAGACAACCUGGGGGAAUUGGUUGCUGGAAAUUAGACUUACAUACAUAUAUAAUUACGCCUUGCAGCCAGCAAAACGACUUUUCUGGAAGGAGAACUGCAGCCGGCCAAAUACAACACUUCGGAAGAAUUUCUAACGGCUGGACAAAAAAUUCAAUUGCGGACUGCUAGGAUUGAUUGGAAGAAGGCCCGACACACAAUUGGAUAAAUCAAUUGAGAAACGUGUAAAGCAUAGAGGGAAGCUGAAAGUAGAUUUGGAGGCAAGAAUUGAAGCUGCCGACAAUUAAUAUAUUUACAUACACACGUAAAGACGGCAGCUUGAGGAGGCAGAAUUGAGAAGUUCCAGCUGGGAUUACAAUUAAAUAUUGGAGGCACUCACAGAAAUUGAGGAGAGGCACACAGAGAAGCUCAGAAAUUGCUGGAAUUUAUCACUUAUACGCAUAGGAAAUCGAGGCAGAAUUGGACUCCAAACAUUGAAGCUGUCGACUGGAGUAAAAUUGAAAUUUCAUUCGCGUUUCGUCAAUUAAUCCCGGUGAUAUCUUCCAUUAUUUUAUCUUGUGUUUCUUCCAUAAUUAUGAAUAGCUAAAUUUAAUUUAGGGCGAACAACGUAAUUUAUUUGGAACCCUUUAUUUCGUUGAUUUAAGAUUCUAGUGCUUUUAUAUCUUAUGCGUUGAUUUUAAUGUUGUGCUUAAUUCUUUUAAUUACUUGAUCACUAAUUAAAUGAUUUGUGAGCGAUGAUUGCGUAGAGAUGCGGAUUAUUUGUUUAGACCACAUGUUAAAAUCCGGUAAAUCGAUAUAACGUGUAGAGAUACCUAUGUUGAUUGCUGCGGUCGUGUGUGAAUUCUUAGAACCAGUGUUGCGUUUAAUUAAUUUUAAUUUGCAUAGAGAUAUGGAAUUGAACUAAUUAAAUAGGCUCAACGAGAACUCGAGAGGGGUAAGUUGAAUACCAUAGAAGAAUUCGAUCGAACAUUACUUUAGGUUAUAUGAAUCUUGAUUUACGAAGUAAAGGUGACCAUUAAGUGAAAUUGUUCCGCCCUAAAGUCCCUUUAUUAUUUGAACUCUCGAUCAUUUUCUGUUGCAUCAAUU
rnacentral:lncRNA from 1 species